rnacentral:lncRNA from 1 species
GGAAAGCCACAGGCAGCCCCGGGUGCACAGCUGCAGGGUUUGGGUGUCCGCAGACGGGUCCAGAGGAAGAGUGAGUCCUGGUAUUCACUCUCCUCGAGACCCCACUUCUUAUGCCCUGCUCUGCGGAGGGACAAGGCCUCCACUGCACUGGAUGCCAGCCGGGUCGACUGAGGAGCAGACGAGCAGGCCCGGCAACCAGGACUGGCCGCUGGAGGACGGAGACAGACCUGACUCCUUACUUCUUCAAGGGUGGCUUGUAACUUGCUUGAGGUGGGACUUCCUAGAAGUCCCAGCAGGGCGGCUCCUCUCCUGGCCUCCCUGGGUGUGCCCCACUCACAGCAUGCAGGGUGAGCCCAGUGUCCUCAGCACCUGCCGGACAGGCCUCAUGCAGCCCCUGCCGCUGUGCGUGCUGAUGCCAGUGUGGCUUCUGGACUUACCAGGCCCAUCCAGUGUCCACAGACCCUCUCCCUCCUUCACUGUGGUCCCCAAGGACCUUUGCUUCUCUCCCAGCUCUGAGUGCACAAGUCACUUGCAAUAGAAGGUCUUCACUUAAAAGAUUGGAGGCUGGAGAGGAAGAGGAGCUGGGGACCCACAGGUGGCCAGGGCUUUAGGGAAUCCCAAACAGCUGCAGCCUUUGAAGUGGCACCCCCUUUCUCCACAGAAAGACUUAACUGGGCUUCUACAGAAAUCCUCACCCAGACUGAUUUUAGGACUGUCAGCAAAAGAGUCUCUGCAAAAGAGUCCAAUGUAGAUAAACUUCCUAUUUUCUUGUCACCCUGUUUACUUGGCCACUGGCUGAGAAGAUACCAGCACUCCAGGUGAUGGACACCCCCUUACUAGUUUUUCACACACAUAUCCAGUAUAGUAGUUUGAAGAAAUGUGCAAACAAGGCCUCUGGCCUUGAGCUGGGCUUCACAGAGAUGUCUACAUUUUUAAGAUAAGUUACAAAUGGGCCCAUGGUAACAGCUGGCAGGGGAG